rnacentral:rRNA from 1 species
AAGCGGAGGAAAAGAAACUAACAAGGAUUCCCCUAGUAACUGCGAGUGAAGCGGGAAAAGCUCAAAUUUAAAAUCUGGCGGUCUUUGGCUGUCCGAGUUGUAAUCUAGAGAAGUGUUAUCCGCGCUGGACCGUGUACAAGUCUCCUGGAAUGGAGCGUCAUAGAGGGUGAGAAUCCCGUCUUUGACACGGACUGCCAGGGCUUUGUGAUGCGCUCUCAAAGAGUCGAGUUGUUUGGGAAUGCAGCUCAAAAUGGGUGGUAAAUUCCAUCUAAAGCUAAAUAUUGGCGAGAGACCGAUAGCGAACAAGUACCGUGAGGGAAAGAUGAAAAGAACUUUGGAAAGAGAGUUAAACAGUACGUGAAAUUGCUGAAAGGGAAACGCUUGAAGUCAGUCGCGUUGGCCGGGGAUCAACCUUGCUUUUGCUGGGCGUACUUUCCGGUCGACGGGUCAGCAUCAAUUUUGACCGUUGGAUAAAGGCUGAGGGAAUGUGGCUCCUUCGGGAGUGUUAUAGCCCUUGGUCGCAUACAACGAUUGGGAUUGAGGAACUCAGCACGCCGCAAGGCCGGGUACUUGUACCACGUUCGUGCUUAGGAUGCUGGCAUAAUGGCUUUAAUCGACCCGUCUUGA